rnacentral:lncRNA from 1 species
UUGGGAUUUAUAUCUCAUAUGGUUCAAUUGGAUAUUUAUCCUUCUAUCCAUCAGAUCCAUCGGUUUAUUGUUUCACCUUCCACUUUGAUUUAAUCUAUCUUUUUACUAUUUAGUUAUUAUUUUGAAUAUUUAUCCUUUAUUUUUUUAUUUUUCUUAUUCUUCUUAUUUCCUUUGUUAUUUUCUAAAUUUAUUUGGUUUCUCCCUUUUAAGUCACAUCCAAAUAUUUUCUUCUUGAGUCA